UUAAGCGACUAAGCGUACACGGUGGAUGCCCUGGCAGUCAGAGGCGAUGAAGGACGUGCUAAUCUGCGAUAAGCGUCGGUAAGGUGAUAUGAACCGUUAUAACCGGCGAUUUCCGAAUGGGGAAACCCAGUGUGAUUCGUCACACUAUCAUUAACUGAAUCCAUAGGUUAAUGAGGCGAACCGGGGGAACUGAAACAUCUAAGUACCCCGAGGAAAAGAAAUCAACCGAGAUUCCCCCAGUAGCGGCGAGCGAACGGGGAGCAGCCCAGAGCCUGAAUCAGUGUGUGUGUUAGUGGAAGCGUCUGGAAAGGCGCGCGAUACAGGGUGACAGCCCCGUACACAAAAAUGCACAUGCUGUGAGCUCGAUGAGUAGGGCGGGACACGUGGUAUCCUGUCUGAAUAUGGGGGGACCAUCCUCCAAGGCUAAAUACUCCUGACUGACCGAUAGUGAACCAGUACCGUGAGGGAAAGGCGAAAAGAACCCCGGCGAGGGGAGUGAAAAAGAACCUGAAACCGUGUACGUACAAGCAGUGGGAGCACGCUUAGGCGUGUGACUGCGUACCUUUUGUAUAAUGGGUCAGCGACUUAUAUUCUGUAGCAAGGUUAACCGAAUAGGGGAGCCGAAGGGAAACCGAGUCUUAACUGGGCGUUAAGUUGCAGGGUAUAGACCCGAAACCCGGUGAUCUAGCCAUGGGCAGGUUGAAGGUUGGGUAACACUAACUGGAGGACCGAACCGACUAAUGUUGAAAAAUUAGCGGAUGACUUGUGGCUGGGGGUGAAAGGCCAAUCAAACCGGGAGAUAGCUGGUUCUCCCCGAAAGCUAUUUAGGUAGCGCCUCGUGAAUUCAUCUCCGGGGGUAGAGCACUGUUUCGGCAAGGGGGUCAUCCCGACUUACCAACCCGAUGCAAACUGCGAAUACCGGAGAAUGUUAUCACGGGAGACACACGGCGGGUGCUAACGUCCGUCGUGAAGAGGGAAACAACCCAGACCGCCAGCUAAGGUCCCAAAGUCAUGGUUAAGUGGGAAACGAUGUGGGAAGGCCCAGACAGCCAGGAUGUUGGCUUAGAAGCAGCCAUCAUUUAAAGAAAGCGUAAUAGCUCACUGGUCGAGUCGGCCUGCGCGGAAGAUGUAACGGGGCUAAACCAUGCACCGAAGCUGCGGCAGCGACGCUUAUGCGUUGUUGGGUAGGGGAGCGUUCUGUAAGCCUGUGAAGGUGUACUGUGAGGUAUGCUGGAGGUAUCAGAAGUGCGAAUGCUGACAUAAGUAACGAUAAAGCGGGUGAAAAGCCCGCUCGCCGGAAGACCAAGGGUUCCUGUCCAACGUUAAUCGGGGCAGGGUGAGUCGACCCCUAAGGCGAGGCCGAAAGGCGUAGUCGAUGGGAAACAGGUUAAUAUUCCUGUACUUGGUGUUACUGCGAAGGGGGGACGGAGAAGGCUAUGUUGGCCGGGCGACGGUUGUCCCGGUUUAAGCGUGUAGGCUGGUUUUCCAGGCAAAUCCGGAAAAUCAAGGCUGAGGCGUGAUGACGAGGCACUACGGUGCUGAAGCAACAAAUGCCCUGCUUCCAGGAAAAGCCUCUAAGCAUCAGGUAACAUCAAAUCGUACCCCAAACCGACACAGGUGGUCAGGUAGAGAAUACCAAGGCGCUUGAGAGAACUCGGGUGAAGGAACUAGGCAAAAUGGUGCCGUAACUUCGGGAGAAGGCACGCUGAUAUGUAGGUGAAGUCCCUCGCGGAUGGAGCUGAAAUCAGUCGAAGAUACCAGCUGGCUGCAACUGUUUAUUAAAAACACAGCACUGUGCAAACACGAAAGUGGACGUAUACGGUGUGACGCCUGCCCGGUGCCGGAAGGUUAAUUGAUGGGGUCAGCGCAAGCGAAGCUCUUGAUCGAAGCCCCGGUAAACGGCGGCCGUAACUAUAACGGUCCUAAGGUAGCGAAAUUCCUUGUCGGGUAAGUUCCGACCUGCACGAAUGGCGUAAUGAUGGCCAGGCUGUCUCCACCCGAGACUCAGUGAAAUUGAACUCGCUGUGAAGAUGCAGUGUACCCGCGGCAAGACGGAAAGACCCCGUGAACCUUUACUAUAGCUUGACACUGAACAUUGAGCCUUGAUGUGUAGGAUAGGUGGGAGGCUUUGAAGUGUGGACGCCAGUCUGCAUGGAGCCGACCUUGAAAUACCACCCUUUAAUGUUUGAUGUUCUAACGUGGACCCGUAAUCCGGGUUGCGGACAGUGUCUGGUGGGUAGUUUGACUGGGGCGGUCUCCUCCUAAAGAGUAACGGAGGAGCACGAAGGUUGGCUAAUCCUGGUCGGACAUCAGGAGGUUAGUGCAAUGGCAUAAGCCAGCUUGACUGCGAGCGUGACGGCGCGAGCAGGUGCGAAAGCAGGUCAUAGUGAUCCGGUGGUUCUGAAUGGAAGGGCCAUCGCUCAACGGAUAAAAGGUACUCCGGGGAUAACAGGCUGAUACCGCCCAAGAGUUCAUAUCGACGGCGGUGUUUGGCACCUCGAUGUCGGCUCAUCACAUCCUGGGGCUGAAGUAGGUCCCAAGGGUAUGGCUGUUCGCCAUUUAAAGUGGUACGCGAGCUGGGUUUAGAACGUCGUGAGACAGUUCGGUCCCUAUCUGCCGUGGGCGCUGGAGAACUGAGGGGGGCUGCUCCUAGUACGAGAGGACCGGAGUGGACGCAUCACUGGUGUUCGGGUUGUCAUGCCAAUGGCACUGCCCGGUAGCUAAAUGCGGAAGAGAUAAGUGCUGAAAGCAUCUAAGCACGAAACUUGCCCCGAGAUGAGUUCUCCCUGACUCCUUGAGAGUCCUGAAGGAACGUUGAAGACGACGACGUUGAUAGGCCGGGUGUGUAAGCGCAGCGAUGCGUUGAGCUAACCGGUACUAAUGAACCGUGAGGCUUAACCUU
rnacentral:rRNA from 3 species